rnacentral:lncRNA from 1 species
GUUCGCAGCAGUUAAACUCGGAGGUAUCCGUAUGUAACAAGGGUUAGGAUAUGAGGAUAACAUCCAAUUAUAUUCCGAUGAAGUAUGCGUGGUCUUUUAUUAAGGAUAAUUUAGUUCAUGUAAUAAAACAAGAUGGAUAAAUCGCAGAAAAGUGUUCUCGAUUUUUUUUCGUAAAAAGAUUACGUCGUCGGCUACGGCAAGUGCAGAGGACGAUGCACAGAUCCUCGGACAUGUUUCAUCUGAAAUUGAGCCUAGCGGAGCGAUGGCUUCUACAACUGACUAACAACAUAACUGACAACUAAACCACUAUAUCCUGAUAUCGUUUCCUGUGACAUGAAAGACGACGUGAAAAAAAACCUAAUCUGUAAUAGAGUGUGAUAAUUCUUUUGUGUCAGUCAAUUUAAUUUUUAUGGAAACGCAUUAUCCUCGAACUUUGAAGAACAUUAGAAGAACGCCUGUGAGAAUUUUUGAUGAAUAGAAACCUGAGAUGACUCUGAGAUGUUACAAAAGACUAGCAGUAAACGUGUAUAUCGAAACUUUUGUGUUAGUGACAAUGUAUAUAUGUACAGUGUAAAUACCAGUAUGGACUGGCGAAUCUGUCGAUCCGUAACAGGCAACCUAUCUACAGGGACCGUCAGAAAUGAAGGAAACUGGCAC